AAACAUUAAGGAUCUCAGAAAAUGACCAAACAGCUUGAGAUUGUUCAAUUUCCUACAAUUCUUGUUCUACAAUUUUCCAAAAUUCAGGAGGUUGACCUUUCUCAACAAGAAUGCAGCUUUGAAAAACGAAGAAAUUUUGUUAGAUUCUGGGAUAAUUUUGACGGAUUGACUAACACUGAGCUAAAAAGGAAAAUUGGGGAUGAUACAUUGCGGCCAUAUCGGUCAUUUGGAGUCGUUGUUCAUUGGGGAAGCGAAAAAAGUGG